GCAGUGGCCUUGCUGCCACGAUCCACCGAGAUUCAGCCCUUUGUCGCUAAGAUUCGACCCUCCCCUAAAUCACUCCAAAAAACAAUCCCCAAUUCUACACAAGUGUUUCUACACUAACAAAGCAACAGCUCCUUAACGAAUUCCCAACUUUACACGAGCUCGUCUCUCGAGGUUAAAUGUUAUUACUUGGUAAGAUUCCGGACCUCGCCAAGUGUUUUGAAAACCCGCAACGCUCGCAAAGGUGCAUAGUGAGAAGAAUAAGUGAAGAGACGUACUUGUCCAAAACGCUCACGAAGGUGCAUAGUGAGAAGAGUAAGUCAAGAGACAGACUUGUCCAAAAAGAAACAAAAGAGAAUGCUUGGGGUUACACUCACGAAGGUGCAUAGUGAGAAGAGUAAGUCAAGAGCAGACUUGUUCAAAAAGAACCGAAGAGAAUGCUUGGGGAGAUAGAAGUGUGAGAUAGUUCUCAAGCUAAGAAAGUUGUAAAAGCUAAGAACUAGCAUCAAAUGAUGGAUGAAACACAAGGUAGUUGUUGAAAAGUCAAACACUUGGUGAUAUGAACACAAACGUUCAAUAUGACAAACCCAUGCCAAGUAAAGAGAAAAUGAAAACGAGUGAUUGUUGCGGAAAUCGUCCAGGAUUCCUCGACCAGGACUUGAAAUCGUCGAGGAAAAUAAUCGGUUCCGAGGAAUCGUCGAUCCGGACUUGGAAUCGUCGAGAAAAGUUUACCGGGUCCGAGGAAUCGUCGAU
rnacentral:misc_RNA from 1 species